rnacentral:snRNA from 1 species
UUGCACAGAGCCAGCAGCAUAACGUAUUGGUUUUUCGCCUUUUACUAAAGACCACCGUGUUGCUGGCUCACUCAAUGUGCCUUCACUAAUUUUUAGUAUGGCCCCUUCGGGGUGCCGC